ACUUUUGUUUUCGGAUUCUCGUUUAUGUAAUCCCAAAAGAGAAAGUACGGUAAUUUAAUUGGCUGAAGAAAAUCGGGAAAAAAAGCGUAUUGGCAGGAAAACGUUGCAUUGGCGGGGAAUCGAACCCCGGUCUCCCGCGUGGCAGGCGAGAAUUCUACCACUGAACCACCAAUGCUUGGUAAAAUGAAAAGAUUUAACCAUUUUAUCACAUAACAAGAAUUGGGGACAGUGUUAACAGUAACAAAAUUUUCACUCGAGUUUAGAUUUGCGCUUUUUUUAUUCGAUUUAGCGUGCAUCAAUUUUGGCGCACAUCUUUUUGGAGGUAAUUAUAAAGAAAAAAAUAAUGUCCAUAAAGAGAUUUUAUGCCUGUUGGACACAUGUUGGCUCAAAGAUUUGCGCGAACCAACACGGUUUAUGGGUGCUAUUAUCAAAGUAAUUUACGUGGAAAAAUUUACAUUACAUUACUUUA